rnacentral:misc_RNA from 1 species
GUAGGUGAACCUGCGGAAGGAUCAUUACAGAGUUCAUGCCCUUACGGGUAGAUCUCCCACCCUUGAAUUAUUAUACCUUUGUUGCUUUGGCGGGCCGCUUCGGCUACCGGCUCCAGCUGGUAAGUGCCCGCCAGAGGACCUAAACUCUUGAAUUAUAGUGUCGUCUGAGUACUAUAUAAUAGUUAAAACUUUCAACAACGGAUCUCUUGGUUCUG